rnacentral:rRNA from 1 species
UACGGAGGGAGCGAGCGUUAUUCGGAUUACUGGGCGUAAAGCGUAUGUAGGCGGUUUUUUAAGACAGAUGUGAAAUCCCAGAGCUUAACUUUGGAACUGCAUUUGUGACUGGAAGACUCGAGUAUCGGAGAGGUUGGCGGAAUUCCUAGUGUAGCAGUGAAAUGCGUAGAUAUCGUGAGGAACACCAGUGGCGAAGGCGACACUCUGGAGAGCAACUGACACUGAGGCACGAAGGCCAGGGGAGCGAACGGG